AAGUCGUACGGAGAGUGGGGCAACUCACUCUCAGUGGCAAACGGGUGAGUAACGCGUGAAUAACCUGCCUUUGAGAAGGGGAUAACUGUCCGAAAGGAUAGCUAAUACCCUAUAUUGCCUUUUGUCACUAAGGCAAAAGGUGAAAGCGAGGCUGUCAAAGGCUUCGGCUCAAAGAGGGGUUCGCGUCCUAUCAGGUAGUUGGUGGGGUAACGGCCUACCAAGCCAAUGACGGGUAGCUGGUCUUAGAGGAUGAUCAGCCACAGUGGGACUGAGACACGGCCCGCACCCCUACGGGGGGCAGCAGUGGGGAAUCGUGGGCAAUGGGCGCAAGCCUGACCCCGCAAUGCCGCGUGAGGGAAGAAGCCCUUCGGGGUGUAAACCUCUGUCAGAUGGGAAGAU
rnacentral:rRNA from 1 species